AGGAGAUGGUCAAGGGGGCCCAGGCUGCAGGGUCUCCAAACUUUGGGGAAUUGUCACUGCCAGUGAACAGGAGACCGACCGAAGAGAUCCAUGACUGCCGGCCACAACUUCCCGUGGACGAUGCUGCAGGAGGUCAGCUCGGAUUCCCAAUUGAUGAAGAGGAGCCCAACGUUUGGCCGGGUCACGCUGUGCCCUGCGUUGGGAUAGUCCAACUCGAGGAUGGAAACCUGAUCCUCCAAGCGACCGAGGGCCUAUGUUCCAACGUAGCUGUCAGGUUGGCUCUGGAAUAGUUCAAGAUGAUGUAAUCCCAGAGUGUGAUACUGAAAAAAGUGUCUGCAAUAUAUAGAUGUGAAAUCAUUUCUCAACAGUUCAAAAGACUUGUAAAACAUAAAUGGCCCCAUGAGAAACGGGGAUUAAAAUGAGCAUUUACGCUCAAA